rnacentral:lncRNA from 12 species
AGAAGAUGAGUCCUUAUAUCCCCAAUAUUUUUGUGGCUCAUUUUCUUUCUUUUGUGUGAUUGUCUACAGAUUGGACAGUGAAAAUGCAAAGGUAGUUGGAAUUACUGCUGCUGUCCUGGAAAAAAGUACCUGCCAGGUAAAGGAACCAAAGCUACUCUUAUUAAUAUUUAACCCAAAAGGACAGUGGCCACUAUGUGACACCAAAUUGUAGCUGGGGACAGAGGACCCCUUGGGAUCUUGUGGCUUUGUACCUCCGGGGAGAUGUGUGCUGGCUGUGCAGUCUUCCCCCUCCCUGACAUUUUGUCAUCCUACGUUUGGUGUCACUGGAUUUCUUCAGAGAUCUACUGAAUCUAGCCCUUCCUGACUUUCUCUUUGUGUCCAGGGUGAGGGUCAGAGCUGAGCAUGAUGGGAGCCUGGUGCUGGUGCUGCCCAGCCCGCUUUGGGGCGAUGCUGUGGAAGAUUGCCCUUGCGAACAAGAAGCAUUGGAUGAUUUUGGCUUUGAUCUGGAACUGAAGCCAAGAAGAUUCAACUCAGCGGAGGCACUUACAUGGCUCUCCAAUGAAAUCAUUAUGUUUUUUUUUUUUUUUUCUGUUUCAAUGGCCUUUCUGUGGUGUCAUCUCUACAUAGCCUAUUUAAGAUAAAUCUUUUCCCCUUUGUGUGUAAUAGCCUCUUAGCGUCCUAUCAAAUGCAUACCAUUUUCACUUCAACAAAUGUUUCCAGUGGAAUUUGAAAUUAAGCCUAGGUUCUUCUGUUUUCCUUCCCUGUCUAUCUGCAUCACAGGGAGCAUCCGGCGGCAGAAAUUCCAGACUGCAGAGUGUGGACUUGAAGAAUUCAGAAAUGGUGCAAUUCCUUGGAGGAAGAGUCUAACUUCCGCUUGUAGAAAUGCUGAUUCCUGAGGUCACAUGGGAAAGCAGCUCGCUGGCUCACUCGUUCACUCGGAAAUGUGAGCCUCAACCACAGGAACUGACUUGCAUUGAGAAUUUUCUUCGUACUUCCCACGUAUGAUGAAUCCCAACCUCACACCCGCCCAGAGAGGUCAGUGCUGCUGUUGUUCACUUUUUGCAGAUGGGGAAACUGAGGCCCAAUGAUUUAAGCAAACUUUCCAAGGUCACAGAUAGAACCGAGGUUGAACCGACUUACUCUCCAGGGUAUGCUCUACUUCCUUUAAGCUAAAUUAAGGAAAGGAGAAAGAGGAGACCAUGGUAUCUUCCAUUACACCAAUAAAUGAUGUGGAUUCUACUGAACUUGAGAAAUU